rnacentral:rRNA from 1 species
AUUGAACGCUGGCGGCAUGCCUUACACAUGCAAGUCGAACGGCAGCACGGACUUCGGUCUGGUGGCGAGUGGCGAACGGGUGAGUAAUGUAUCGGAACGUACCUUUCAGUGGGGGUAUAACGUAGCGAAAGUUACGCUAAUACCGCAUAUUCUGUGAGCAGGAAAGCAGGGGAUCGCAAGACCUUGCGCUGAUUGAGCGGCCGAUAUCAGAUUAGCUAGUUGGUGGGGUAAAGGCCUACCAAGGCUACGAUCUGUAGCGGGUCUGAGAGGAUGAUCCGCCACACUGGAACUGAGACACGGUCCAGACUCCUACGGGAGGCAGCAGUGGGGAAUUUUGGACAAUGGGGGCAACCCUGAUCCAGCCAUGCCGCGUGCAGGAUGAAGGCCCUCGGGUUGUAAACUGCUUUUGUACGGAACGAAACGGCUCUGGUUAAUACCUGGGGCUAAUGACGGUACCGUAAGAAUAAGCACCGGCUAACUACGUGCCAGCAGCCGCGGUAAU